CAAAAAUUCAAAUUGUUGCAAUGGAAUAAUUGUAAUAUUUACAUGCUUACUAACAGUACAUUUUCAUUUAAGAUGUUAACAAGACGAGGCUUGUCUUGGUUGAAGCAAAUUAAAGAGUCACAUGGGUCUGUUGCUCUCACAACUAUGGUUCAAGUUGAAGCAAUCAAUUCUUCUGGUAUUUACUACAUUGCAGACACCGAAAAAGCUAAAGAAAGUAAACAUGUGGACAAUGGCGUUACAUUGUGCCUUGAGAAUUUGGUAUCCCUUGUUGUUCCUAAAGACGAAAUUAAGAGUCGAGAGGAAAAGAUUUAUAGCUUGGAAGAAGUAAAGGAUGUUCAAAGUAAAUUGAUGUUGAUUGCUGGGAGAGCAGAAAGUGGAAAGGAGGAGGUUGACCAGUUCAACGAGGUUUGUAUUACAAGUACUAGUUAAAACAUUAUAGCAGCCGAUCUUUAUCUGAUGUAAC